UGAAUGUUAGCUAACGUUAGCUAACAUUCAGAGAUUAUUGGGGAAAAAGUUUAGCUGCAGUUUUUGUGGCAAGUCUAUAAACUUAAUUGCAAAAACUUCACAGUAAUGAUCCACGUUGUUUAUUUAAGUGCUUAGGACCUGGAGAAAUUCAGUUCAUUCUACUUGAACCUGCAGGGGGCUUGUUAAUGCACAGCCUAUAUUGGCAGGUGUAUAAGUAAAUAAAGAAACAACAAUGACCACAAGCACAGUGCAGCUAGAGAUUGCAAGGCUGCCAACUUUGCAGGAAUGUGGAAUGGCCAGCUGUCUGGUUUGUCAUCAGCGUUGUCACCUCUCAGCUUCAGUGAGUACAUAUAAUUGAUAGCCUUAUGAACCGGUACUGCCCUUAAAUGUUUUCUUUGUUUUGCUGGCUGCAGAGAGGAUCAAGUAAAUCCCCAGUGAUGAUGAAAACGCCUACUCAAAGUGCCAGUUUCCUGAACAUUGUACCAUGUCUGUAUGACACUCUGUCCGACCUGCUGUCAAGCCUGGACCCAUUGAUGUGGACACCGUCUUGUCAAAGCUAAUUAAAGGGAUGAUCGUGCCAGUCCACAGUGAACACCUGAUGGACAACAUGUGAGUCCUCAAGCAGAACUGGAGACAAUAUACACUUCAAGUUCCAGUUUCUUGAACAUCAUGUCUUUGUGAAACUCUAUCCCAUGUUGAGCACCCUCUUCAGCCAAGUCUGGAGUCAGUGACUCAUUACUCUUGAUCAACCCAGGGCAAGUGACAGUAGUGGGACUAAAAUAUGGGAUUGGAGCUUGAGGUGAAGUUAUAGGGUUAUAAUGAGGGAGUUUAUCACCGUGGGAACAUGAAUGUGCUGCAGUUUGAACCAUACGGAUAUGAAUUGUAUAAUAAUGACUUCUGUUCUGUGACCCAUCAUUUACUGAUGUGGUUCAUUGUGCUGGCACAGAGCAGACAUGAACACAGACCUGCUACAACAGCUGCUCUGCUUCUGCAUCUUAUACCAUGUGUGUUUGCAUGGUAGUCAUAGAUACAGUUCUCUAUCUCUAUGUCUAGCGUGUAUACCUGUACUGUGGAGAGAACACUGACAUAGCUGGAGUAAAGGGGGCAAAGUGGGCCGCUGGUCCCCUAUUGGCAGAU